UAUCUCUGUAGAGUCUGCAUAUCAAUAAGCGGAGGAAAAGAAACUAACAAGGAUUCCCUUAGUAACGGCGAGUGAAGUGGGAAGAGCUCAAAUUUGAAAUCUUCAAGGUUCUACCUUGACGAAUUGUAGUUUAAAGAAGUGUUUUCUGUUAGAUGAGUAGGCUAAAAGUUCUCUUGGAAUAGGACAUCAUAGAGGGUGAGAAUCCCGUAUUUGACGUUAUUCUUCUAGCUGUGUGAUACACUUUCAAAGAGUCGGAUUGUUUGGGAAUGCAGUCCAAAAUGGGUGGUAAAUUUCAUCUAAAGCUAAAUAUUGGCGAGAGACCGAUAGCGAACAAGUACCGUGAGGGAAAGAUGAAAAGAACUUUGAAAAGAAGAGUUAAACAGUACGUGAAAUUGUCAAAAGGGAAGCGUUUGACACCAGUGUUGUUUUUCCGAAAAUCAAUUACGAAUGGCUUGAUUUUGUGUUGUAUUGACCUUAUCAGCUUUCUUCACUUUUUUCGAGUCUUUCUUAAUGCACUUUUUCGGUUAACAAGUCAACAUCAAUUUCUUUUGUUGUAAAAGAGUAUUCGGAAGGUGGCUUUCUUUUCGGAGAAAGUGUUUAUAGCCCUAUACUUCUACAAUCGGAGAGAUUGAGGUCUGCAGCGUAGAUCCUUCGGGGUUAGAUACACUUUGUGCUAAGUUGUAGCUUUUCAUAGACAACUUGUUGACUAUGUUUAGUCUAGUCAUGCGGCUUACUCGCUUAGUGCUAUUUUACCUACGCUUAGGAUGUUGACUGAUAUGUAGUCGUA
rnacentral:rRNA from 1 species